GGGGUACACGAGCGGCGAACGGGUGAGUAACACGUGAGCAACCUGCCCCUGACUCUGGGAUAAGCGGUGGAAACGCCGUCUAAUACCGGAUACGACCCGCCACCUCAUGGUGGAGGGUGGAAAGUUUUUCGGUCAGGGAUGGGCUCGCGGCCUAUCAGCUUGUUGGUGGGGUAACGGCCUACCAAGGCGAUUACGGGUAGCCGGCCUGAGAGGGCGACCGGCCACACUGGGACUGAGACACGGCCCAGACUCCUGCGGGAGGCAGCAGUGGGGAAUAUUGCGCAAUGGGCGAAAGCCUGACGCAGCGACGCCGCGUGGGGGAUGACGGCCUUCGGGUUGUAAACCUCUUUUACCACCAACGCAGGCUUCCAGUUCUCUGGAGGUUGACGGUAGGUGGGGAAUAAGGACCGGCUAACUACGUGCCAGCAGCCGCGGUAAUACGUAGGGUCCGAGCGUUGUCCGGAAUUAUUGGGCGUAAAGAGCUCGUAGGCGGCGUGUCGCGUCUGCUGUGAAAGACCGGGGCUUAACUCCGGUUCUGCAGUGGAUACGGGCAUGCUAGAGGUAGGUAGGGGAGACUGGAAUUCCUGGUGUAGCGGUGAAAUGCGCAGAUAUCAGGAGGAACACCGGUGGCGAAGGCGGGUCUCUGGGCCU
rnacentral:rRNA from 1 species